AACACCUACGGGGGGCAGCAGUGGGGAAUAUUGCACAAUGGGGAAAACCCUGAUGCAGCGACGCCGCGUGAAGGAAGAAGUAUUUCGGUAUGUAAACUUCUAUCAGCAGGGAAGAAAAUGACGGUACCUGACUAAGAAGCCCCGGCUAACUACGUGCCAGCAGCCGCGGUAAUACGUAGGGGGCAAGCGUUAUCCGGAUUUACUGGGUGUAAAGGGAGCGUAGGCGGUUUAGCAAGUCAGAAGUGAAAGCCCGGGGCUCAACUCCGGGACUGCAUUUGAAACUGUCAGGCUGGAGUGCAGGAGAG
rnacentral:rRNA from 1 species